GAUGAACGCUGGCGGCGUGCCUAAUACAUGCAAGUCGAGCGAACAGACGAGGAGCUUGCUCCUCUGACGUUAGCGGCGGACGGGUGAGUAACACGUGGAUAACCUACCUAUAAGACUGGGAUAACUUCGGGAAACCGGAGCUAAUACCGGAUAAUAUAUUGAACCGCAUGGUUCAAUAGUGAAAGACGGUUUUGCUGUCACUUAUAGAUGGAUCCGCGCCGCAUUAGCUAGUUGGUAAGGUAACGGCUUACCAAGGCGACGAUGCGUAGCCGACCUGAGAGGGUGAUCGGCCACACUGGAACUGAGACACGGUCCAGACUCCUACGGGAGGCAGCAGUAGGGAAUCUUCCGCAAUGGGCGAAAGCCUGACGGAGCAACGCCGCGUGAGUGGUGAAGGUCUUCGGAUCGUAAAACUCUGUUAUUAGGGAAGAACAAAUGUGUAAGUAACUAUGCACGUCUUGACGGUACCUAAUCAGAAAGCCACGGCUAACUACGU
rnacentral:rRNA from 1 species